GACGAACGCUGGCGGCGUGCUUAACACAUGCAAGUCGAACGGAAAGGCCCUGCUUUUGUGGGGUGCUCGAGUGGCGAACGGGUGAGUAACACGUGAGUAACCUGCCCUUGACUUUGGGAUAACUUCAGGAAACUGGGGCUAAUACCGGCUAGGAGCUCCUGCUGCAUGGUGGGGGUUGGAAAGUUUCGGCGGUUGGGGAUGGACUCGCGGCUUAUCAGCUUGUUGGUGGGGUAGUGGCUUACCAAGGCUUUGACGGGUAGCCGGCCUGAGAGGGUGACCGGCGACAAGGGGACUGAGAUACGGACCAGACGGCAACGGGAGGCAGCAGGGGGGAGUAUUGCACAGUGGGCGGAAGUCAGAGGCGACAACGCUCCGUGCGGGAAGACGGGCUACUGGUGGAGAACAGAUGUGGCCUGAGACGAGGCGUUAGUGACGGUAACGGGUAAAGAAGCACCGGCUAACUACGUG
rnacentral:rRNA from 1 species